rnacentral:lncRNA from 1 species
UGAAUGUCUUAGGUGACCCCUGUGAAGGGGUCAUUAAACCCUCAAAGGGGUUGCGACCCACAGGUCUAGACAUUUAGGUAUUUAGAUAUUUAUGAAUGAUGAAGUGGGAAUGGGAAAAGUUUUGGAUUGUAAUCUAAAAGCAUUUCCAGUUUGUGUCUGUGCAGAUGGCAUACAAAUGCAUCCAUGAUACAGGUAGAGAGGCCAGUGAACACAUCUGAAUCCGAAUGUGGAACACCAGCUGUCUCAGCCCUUCCCACCACCUUCUGUGUUGGUAUGCUGAGUUGCUGGUGACUAAGCAAAGCCUGACACAGCUUCACAAGAGGUCCCUCAAACUCUGACCACCAUGGAGACUUGGCAAUCCAUUCAGACUACUUUGAGAAGCAGUUCAAAACUGAUUUGUAUUCUACGAUUCUCUUUCCUACCUUGUAUUUCUUUCUGUAAAAGAGUUGAGGCUGAUCUAAUUUUAGGAUUUGGCCAUUUGAGUUGAACUUGGUGGUUUUAGUUUUAUUGCUGUUUUUCUUCUUUUAGGUUGAGAGCGAG